rnacentral:tRNA from 3 species
GCGAGGGUUGCCGAGCCAGGUCAAAGGCGCGGGCUUGAGGGGUCCGUCUCGUAGGAGUUCUAGGGUUCAAAUCCCUUCCCUCGCA